GUCCACGCCCUAAACGAUGUCAACUAGGUGUUGGGGAAGGAGACUUCUUUAGUACCGCAGCUAACGCGAUAAGUUGACCGCCUGGGGGAGUACGGUCGCAAGAUUAAAAACUCAAAGGAAUUGACGGGGACCCGCACAAGCGGUGGAUUAUGUGGAUUAAUUCGAUGCAACGCGAAAAACCUUACCUACCCUUGACAUGUCAGAAAGAUCGUAGAGAUAUGAUUGUGCCCGAAAGGGAAUCUGAACACAGGUGCUGCAUGGCUGUCGU
rnacentral:rRNA from 1 species